GCGAGUGUAGUUUAAUGGUAGAACUUCAGCCUUCCAAGCUGACUGUGAGGGUUCGAUUCCCUUCACUCGCUCCA
rnacentral:tRNA from 15 species